rnacentral:tRNA from 1 species
GAGGGUAUAACUCAGUGGCAGAGCACAUGCUUAGCAUGCAUGAGGUUCUGGGUUCAACCCCUAGUACCUCCA